UACGUAGGUGGCAAGCGUUAUCCGGAAUUAUUGGGCGUAAAGAGCGCGCAGGUGGUUAAUUAAGUCUGAUGUGAAAGCCCACGGCUUAACCGUGGAGGGUCACUGGAAACUGGUUGACUUGAGUGCAGGAGAGGAGAGUGGAAUUCCAUGUGUAGCGGUGAAAUGCGUAGAUAUAUGGAGGAACACCGGUGGCGAAAGCGGCUCUCUGGCCUGUAACUGACACUGAGGCUCGAAAGCGUGGGGAGCAAACAGG
rnacentral:rRNA from 1 species